ensembl:lincRNA
GGGCCACUUCUAUAACACACUGGAGCAAUUUGACUGGGGGUACUUCCGGGCCCUGGCUGAGGAGUCCCAGCUCUAUGAGCAAAGCCUCAGCCUCUUUCCGCAGCAGUUCCAGCAGACAGGUGUUUACGUCUUUCGUCUGAGCAGCAACCGACAUCGGAAGAUGGUUUGUCUAUGAUAAUUUGCCUCAUUUAAGACAUUAUUCCAUCAUUUCCCCUCUCUUUAAAAAUUACUGCCUCAUAACCACCUCAGACAGAUCUACAGGGGGGGAGCUGCCCUGAUAUCCCUGUCGGUUUCGGGGUCCCACAAUGCUAACAGAUGGUCCCGGGGACACCAAGGUUCAUUCCACAGCAGCUGGGCAUGUGUGGUGUAAGCAGGGGACGGUUGGGAGGAUGGGAACACAAGUGUGUAUUCAGGGACAUCAAUGGCAUUGCUCGGCCUGGGACCUCUGGCUGUCUCUCCCAACCCUCCACUUGUCUCCCCCUCCACAUCUCCCAAGCCCACCUACGCAUGGUUUUAUCCAUGUGACCUGCACAUUGUACCACCACUGAUCCAGGUGUGCUGUUUGUGCCAUACACAGCAUUUAGUAUCUCCCUGUCAGCACAACGUCCAAGAGAUUGUACUGACUUAGUCCCAGAACAUGCACACAGCUCCCUCAUACAGACAGUCAACUGAUGUGAGUCAUCUGAUGUAAAUAAGUUUCCCAGGAAAACUCUGAUUCUGCCUCCCAGCCCCCAGGUUUACACAAUCAUCCAACUGUUUGGUCAGUGUUGGCAGGCAUGGGUCCCACUCUGUCUCCGGGCCAGUUUCCGGUAGACAGCGGGACAAAGACUGAACAGACUUCUUUCCACCCAGUAUCUCCGUGCCCUCCCGCCAGGGGGCCAGUGCUUUGGGGAAGGGCCCUUUGCCUCCACAGCUCCAAGGUAUCUCAUCCAGACUGGCAUCGCCAGGAUCCCCCGGCCCCUGAAGGGGUCUGGCUGGCCAGGACUCCUAGGGGAGAUGGUGCUGCUCCUGGGGCUUUGCCUGCUUCUAAUGAUUCAGUGUCACAGCCUGAGCUGGGCUCGGAAGACUGCUCCUCACCCUACCUUCAGGAGACAUCAGCAAGAAUACAACCUCGACGGCUACACCUCCCCAAGAACUGGAAUAAUGUCAAUGAGGAGAGGCCGAUCUCACCAAGACUCUGAUGCCCCCAGGGUUGAGGGGGGCCCUGAUGGGAGCUGGGAGGCCAAGGAGCAGGUGGACCUGGAAUGGUUUAACACAGAGGCCUUCUUUGGAAUCCUGCUCAGGCAGUCUCUGUCAGUGACAGCCAAACUCAGCCAGACCAAGGAAGAGCUCAAACUCCUCUACCUUAAACUUCUGCGCGAAGCCCAUUCUCUCCAGCAGCUGUGGGGAGCAAGGCGCUGCCUCCCAGCCUCCACUAGUCGGCUUCUGGGGAGCAUGCAGAGGGAGCAGCAGCAGGCUACUGAGGCAGCUGCCAGGGCAGCAGAGGAGGAGGCCAGGCGGAGGGGGCACCUGGCAGGCGAGUAUGCAGCCAGCCUUCGUCACCAACUGAAGCUCCUUCGCCAAGACCUCCACGAGAGGCAGGAGCAGUGGGCCUCUUUCUGCUCAGCACUGAUGGAGGCUCAGCAGCUGCUGAAAGCAUGGACAGGCUCCAGGCCAGAGAAGUCCUCUCCAGCUGGGCAGAACUCAGAAAGGGCGGUUCCCCAGCUGGACACCGUGCUGGGCCACCUGUCCCAGGUCAUGCUGCGGGAGGGCCACCGCCUGAAAGCCUGGGGCAUUCUGAGCACUGGCACUGGGGCAGAGCUGCUGCGGCCAGGAAUGAUGCGCUAUCCCGGGACAGAGCUGUGGGUCCCAGCCCUGUAUGGAAUGGAGAUCCCAGAUCCUGAGGGCUCGGGGCUCAUGGUGCCCAUCCUGGGCAUGGAGCAUGAUGAGAAUUUGGGUGAAGCCACACCCCUGGCAGGCUCAAUGGAAGAUGCCCACGGCAAAGGUCUUAUCCCAAUUUCAAUCGGGGCUCAAGCCAUAGACCCCUUGACUGGGGAGCCUGGUCCCGUCAUUGGAGCUCAAAGAGAUCCCUCUUCCAGAGUGGUGGUGCCCAUUGUCCAGGUGCUGGAGUCCUUACCUCGAGGAGUGAGAGACCCUGGUCUGCUGGACACCCUGGAGCAGGAGCUGAGGGCCCGGGAGCAGUACUGGCACCACCAGGAACAGGAGGAGAAGCUGCUACUGGAUCACCUGGGACACCUGAGCCAGGAGCUCCACUUCACUGCAGGCAAUGGCGUGGAGCAGCAGAUGAUUGCCUCAGGAACCCCUGUGUGUUUGGAGAAUUACCCUGGACACAUAUUCUAUGGAACAGUCACAGCUUCUGUCAGGGACCUGACUGCUGCCUGUCCCAUGUUGAUCCCUUUUCUGAAGCAACUCGCCACAGCACUAGUCGGAGCUCAAGGGCUGGAGGAUCAGAGGCCAGGAACAGAUACAGAUAAAGCUAACAUCAUCUGGGCUUCACCAUUCUUCUCCAUCCUGAAGAAAACAGACAUCUGGUCCCAAGCCCACAAAGAAGACACUGAACUGCAAAAACAAGUGUAUCACAAACGAGACCCAAAGAGCUCUUUACAGUAUCUUCUAAAACCUCAAACAGUGCAGAAGGAAGAGCUGAUAACUGUGCAACCCAUUGGCCUUUCUGCCAGGGAGUUUGUGGUUUACCAGUACGGCCUCUCCAUCCUGCACCUCCUCAUCCCCCAGCUUCAUGCUCCAGAAAUCACCCUGAAGAUUGCUUCUCAUCUUCCUGCCAUGGAAGCCCAAGGCAGUGCCUUCCAAGAUGGCUUCUUCUGUCAGAGUGCUGAGAACAUAUUGUUCGUUGGGAGAGAGUGCCUGGCCUCUGUGGGAAGCUUUGUUCUGCUGCUGAUCCGCUGCCUGGCCCACAUCACUGCUGGGGAACCCCACCAGGACUCCAACCCUGCCUUUCUGGGGUCAUUUUACAAGGUAUUUAUAACAUAUACAGUGCAU